rnacentral:rRNA from 1 species
UACGUAGGGCGCAAGCGUUGUCCGGAAUUAUUGGGCGUAAAGAGCUCGUAGGCGGUUUGUCGCGUCUGCUGUGAAAACCUAAGGCUCAACCUUGGGCUUGCAGUGGGUACGGGCAGACUAGAGUGCGGUAGGGGUGACUGGAAUUCCUGGUGUAGCGGUGGAAUGCGCAGAUAUCAGGAGGAACACCGGUGGCGAAGGCGGGAUCCUGGGCCAGUACUGACGCUGAUGAGCGAAAGCGUGGGGAGCAAACAGG